rnacentral:lncRNA from 1 species
ACUUCAGAUACCAUGCAUGAAUAAACUUAGUUGGUCUUUAAGGUGCUACUGGAAGAAUUUUUUUAAAAAAUAAUAAUUUAUUACUUGUACCCUGCCCAUCUGGCUGGUGUCCCACAGCCACGCUGGGCAGCUCCCAACAGAAUAUUGAAAACAUGAUAAAACAUCAAGUGGCGUUGUUCUUUAGUCGUGUCUGACUCUUCGUGACCCCCUGGACCAGAGCACGCCAGGCACUCCUGUCUUCCAGUGUCUCCCGCACUUUGGUCAGACUCAUGUUGGUAGCUUUGAGAACACUGUCCAACCAUCUCAUCCUCUGUUGUCUCCUUCUCCUUGUGCCCUCCAUCUUUCCCAACAUCAGGGUCUUUUCUAGGGAGUCUUUUCUUCUCAUGAGGUGGCCAAAGUAUUGGAGCCUCAGCUUCAGGAUCUGUCCUUCCAGUCAGCACUCAGGGCUGAUUUCCUUCAGAAUGGAUGUUUGAUCUUCUUGCAGUCCAUGGGACUCUCAAGAGUCUCCUCCAGCACCAUAACUCAAAAGCAUCUAUUCUUAGGCAAUCAGCCUUCUUGAUGGCCCAGCUCUCACUUCCAUACAUCACUAUUGGGAAAACCAUAGCUUUAAGUAUAUGGACCUUUGUCAGCAAGGUGAUGUCCCUGCUUUUUAAGAUGCUGUCUAGGUGUCACGGUCCAGUCUACGGGCAAUUGAAGUCCCAGCUGAGGACGUCGAGACUGGGGGUAAGAUGGCAGGGUGGGAGCAGGAACGAGAGUCUAGAAGCCAGGGGUCCAAGGGUCAGGAAGCAGGGAGUCAAGAAGUCGAGGGUCCGAGGGUCAAGAAGCAAGGAAUUUUGAAGUCAAGGGGCCAAGGGUUGGGAAGCAAGAAGCCAAAUGCAGCAAGGCAGGAAACGUGUUGCUGUGGCAAAGAGCGGAAGGGAAAUGCUGACAUUAUAUCCCUUCCUGGCUCUUGCCACCAGGUGCUGUGAGUUACCAAGCGGCCUCACCUAUGUGGCUGCACCUUGCCUCUUCAGAACAAACUUAGGAAGGCCCCAGUCCUGCAAACUGGUCACAGGGCCUGGCUCCUGCACACACUUCUGACACUAGGUUUGUCAUUGCUUUUCUCCCAAGACGCAGGUGUCAUUUAAUUUCGUGACUGCCGUCACCAUCUGCAGUGAUCAUGGAACCCAAGGAAGUAAAAUCUCUCACUGCCUCCAUUUCUUUCCCUUCUAUUUGCCAGGAGGUGAUGGGCCCAGUGGCCAUGGUCUUCAUUUUGUUGUUGUUGAGCUUCAGACCAUAUUUUGCACCCUCCUCUUUCUGCCAUCAAGGUUGUGUCAUCUGCAUAUCUGAGCUUGUUGAUAUUUCUUCCGGCAAUCUUAAUUCCGGCUUUGGAUUCAUCCAGUCCAGCCUUUCGCAUGAUGAAUUCUGCAUAUAAAUUAAAUAAGCAGGGAGACAGUAUACAGCCUUGUCGUACUCCUUUCCCAAUUUUGAACCAAUCAGUUAUUCCAUAUCCAGUUCUAACUGUAGCUUCUUGUCCCACAUAGAGAUUUUUCAGGAGACAGGUGAGGUGAUCAGGCACUCCCAUUUCUUUAAGAACUUGCCAUAGUUUGCUGUGGUCAACACAGUCAAAUCCUUUUGCUUAGUCAAUGAAGCAGAAGUCGAUGUUUUUCUGGAACUCUAGCUUUCUCCGUAAUCCAGUGCAUGUUUGCAAGUUGGUCUCUGGUUCCUCUGCCCCUUCGAAAUCCAGCUUGCACUUCUGGGAGUUCUUGGUCCACAUACUGCUUAAGCCUUCCUUGUAGAAUUUGAAGCAUAACCUUGCUAGCAUGUGAAAUGAGCACAAUUGUGCGGUAGUUGGAGCAUUAUUUGGCACAUCCCUUCUUUGGAAUUGGGAUGUAGACUGACAUUCUCCAAUCCUCUGGCCACUGCUGAGUUUUCCACACUUGCUGGCAUAUUGAGUGUAGCACCUUAACACUAUAAUAUUUUAAAGUUUUAAAUAGUUCAGCUGGAAUAUCAUUACUUCCACUGGCCUUGUUAUUAGCAGUGCUUUCUAAGGCCCAUUUGACUUCACUCUCCAGGAUGUCUGGCUCAAGGUCAGCAACCACACUAUCCAUAUCUUUAUGGAGUAAUUCCUCUGUGUAUUCUUGCCACCUCUUCUUGGUGUCUUCUGCUUCUGUUAGGUCCUAACCAUUUUGGUCCUUUAGCCCCCAUUUCCCUAACUCAGGGGAUGGGACUUCUUCCUCCCAGUUCCCUCCAUGCAAACUUAGGGAAUGGGAUCCGUUCCUGCUCAGUCUCUGCCCCAGAGAUUAAACGGAGCCAAGAACACUCAGAAGCAGUCAUAAAUCAAAGCUUCUCUGUUCAAGCUACUUGGCAGCUGCACAAACGUUCCAGGCAGCCUACUUUCACUUUUAGAAGAAGAAGAAGAAUUUGGAUUUGAUAUCCCGCUUUAUCUCUACCCUGAGGAGUCUCAAAGCGGCUAACAAUCUCCUUUCCCUUCCUCCCCCACAACAAACACUCUGUGAGGUGAGUGGGGGUGAGAGACUUCAGCGAAGUGUGAUCCAGAGGUACUUUAAACAAUUAUAUACACAAGGACCACAGAAAGAAAUUGAUUUAGAUCGAUUUUUGAAAACAAAUGGAUUACAAAAAAUCUCCCAGGAAAAUAAAUUAAUGCUGAACUAUAAAAGAACUGAACAGGAGAUAGAAGGUGCCAUUCAGAAUAUGCAACUAGGUAAAUCUCCAGGACCGGAUGGACUGACCUCUAAAUAUUACAGAUCCUUAAAAUAAUGGUUAGUACAACCUUUGAAGGAAGUCUGUAACGAAAUAAUGGGUGGGAAAAGGGACCAGAGUCGUGGAAAGAAGCGUAUAUUACACUUGUACCGAAAACAGAGACUGAAAAGAUGCAGCUUAAGAACUACUGCCCCAUAUCAUUGCUCAAUGUGGAUUACAAAAUCUUUGCAGACAUUUUGGCUAAAAGACUAAAAAAAGUGUUAAUGGAAGAGAUCCAUAAAGACCAAGCAGGCUUUCUCCCGGGUAGACAUUUGUCUGAUAAUGUGAGAAAUAUAGAAGGGACCAGUUGGUUAAAGGUAUACAGGUCGGAACUAAACAGUACAAAUUGAGAGCAUUUGCAUAUGACUUAGUACUGACGUUACAGGAGCCAGAAUCUAGUACUAAAAGGGUUUUAGAACUGAUUCAAGAAUUUGGUCAAGUGGCAGGAUUUAAAUUGAAUAAGUUAAAAACCAAGGUUUUAGAGAAAAAUUUAACACCGAUUGAAAGAGAGAGGUUUCAGAAUGAGACAGGUUUAACAGUGGUUAAGAAAGUUAAAUAUUUGGGGAUUAACAUGACAGCAGAAAAUGGGAACUUAUUUAAGGAUAACUAUGAAAAAUGCUGGUCUGAAGUGAAAAAAGAUUUAGAAAUUUGGUCAAAUUUGAAGCUUUCACUGCUGGGCUGUAUUGCGGCGAUAAAAAUGAAUGUAUUGCCUAGAAUGUUGUUUUUGUUCCAAACUUUGCAGAUUGUGGACAAAAUGGAUUGUUUCAAGAGGUGGCAGAAAGAUAUUUCUAAAUUUGUCUGGCAGGGCAAGAAGCCCAGAAUAAAAUUUAAAAUACUAACAGAUGCAAAGGAAAGAGGUGGAUUUGCCCUGCCAGACCUCAAACUUUACUAUGAAUCAGCAGCUUUUUGCUGGUUGAAAGAAUGGCUACUUCUUGAAAACACUGACAUUUUGGACUUGGAAGGUUUUAAUAAUGUUUUUGGAAGGCAUGCCUAUUUAUGGUAUGAUAAGGUCAAAGCACAUAAAGCAUUUAAAAACCAUAUUGUCAGGAAAGCGCUAUUCAAUGUUUGGUUAAGAUAUAAGGAUUUGUUAGAAAACAAAACCCCAAGGUGGCUGUCACCAAUGGAAGCGAAAGCCUUGAAAAAGGUCAAUAUGGAGGUCAAAUGGCCGAAAUAUUGGGAAAUUCUGGAACAAGACGGAGAUAGACUGAAAUUGCAGAGUUUUGAAAAACUAAAAAACAAAGUGCGAGACUGGCUUCAUUAUUAUCAGAUAAUGGAGGCAUUUAAAUUGGAGAGGAAAAUUGGCUUCCAGGUGGAAAGAUCCAAAUUAGAAACAGAAUUGUUAGAACCCAAAACUAAGAAUUUGUCAAGAAUGUACAACUUGCUGCUGAAAUGGAAUACUCAGGAUGAAACGGUAAAAUCGGCUAUGAUUAAAUGGGCACAGGACGUUGGACAUAAUAUUAUGUUUGCUGACUGGGAACAGUUAUGGACCACAGGUAUGAAAUUUACGGCAUGUAAUGCCUUAAGAGAGAAUAUUAUGAAAAUGAUAUACAGGUGGUACAUAACUCCAGUCAAGCUUGCAAAAAUCUAUCACUUGCCCAAUAACAAAUGUUGGAAAUGUAAAGAAACUGAAGGUACAUUUUUUCACCUUUGGUGGACGUGCCCAAAGAUUAAGGCUUUCUGGGAAAUGAUAUAUAAUGAAUUAAAAAAGGUAUUUAAGUAUACCUUCCUUAAGAAACCAGAGGCCUUUCUCCUGGGCAUAGUCGGCCAAAUGGUGUUAAAAAAGGAUAGAACUUUCUUUAUGUAUGCAACAACAGCAGCAAGAAUACUCAUUGCAAA